AUUGUGUAUUGUAUUGUAUUGUAUUGUAUUGUAUUGUAUAUUGUGUAUUUGUUCAUAGAAGGCACACAGGACGAUGACCGACCGUUAUGUUAAUAAGCAGUGCGCUGAAGAGGCAUUCAAUGGCACUGCGUAUGUCUGAGUGUUUUGGGAAUUUGUGCUUGUUUAAUAACGGAAUACGGCUGCAAGAAAGUUGCUCGUGCCAGAACUUUGCUAAAGAACCCGAGAAAUAGUAUUUAAUUCAAGAAAGAAGUCGCAGCACAGUACGAAGGUAGAGUCUAGACUUUUCCUGUGGGACUGUAAUGUAAAGAUAGGAACCAUUAAUGCAAGGUACAGGGGGAAUGCUUUCAGAGAGACACAUAACAGGUAGUGAGCCGGGCCAGCGUGUGUAAUGAUGAUUGUACCUGCUGUUGGAGCUUCCAGUAAAGUUCAAGACAGCACGUGUACGGCUCAAACCGUCAAGUUUACGUUACGUUUGUAACGGUGUUGGCGUGCUUGGCUCUUCCGUCCGUCCCUCCUUCGAGCCUCCCUCCCCUCCACCCACCUCCGUGUUUGCUAGUCUUCAAUACAGUAAAGGUUGGGUUGCAGGGGCAGAAGCCUAAGACGAAAAUCGCAGACUUCCCUCUCCCCCUGUUCCUUCAUCCAGCUCCUCCCGGCGGAUCCUGAGGUGCUCCCAGGCCAGUUGAGAGACAGUCUCUCCAACGUGUCCUGGGUCUUCCCCAAGGCCUCCUACUGGUCUGACGUGCCCAGGGAGCCGUCUGAGAGGCAUUCUGAUCAUAUGCCCGAGCCGCCACAUCUGGCUUUUCUCAAUGCGGAGGAGUUCAGACUCAGAGUUUCUCCCAGAUCACAGUGUUUCUCAUCCUGUCUCUAAGGGAGAGCCCGGCCACCCUACAGCGGAACCUCAUUUUGGCCACUUAUCCACGAUCUUGUCCUUUCAGUCACUGACCAAAGCUCAUUACCAUAAGUGGGGUAGAGACAAAGAUCGACUGUUUCACUCCUUUGUAAAAGAGAAUGGGGUCCGCUCCUCAUUUAAAUUAAGGAGUUAGCUAGGAAUGUCAUAAUGGUUCCAGGACUGUGAGUUCUUGCCACAGGGCCAGACGAUCAACCAGCGGCGUUUCGUUCAUUGCAUGAAAAGAGGCGAGAGUUGUGGCAGGCCAGCUUGCGCCUGCUGACGUGCCUGAACAUCCGGGACUUCCUGGCCAAGAAGAACAUCACCGUGCUGGAGAAUGCUGGGAUUUUGUCCUCUUUCCAAAGCUCAAGGAGUCACCAAGGGGACACGUUUUGAAGACACGGACAACAUGGAGAAUUCCUCCAGGAGUACAUGAAGGCGUGGGAAGUGCAUUACUCUGAAGGGGAAAACUUUAGAUUUGAGAUAUAUCUUUUGUGACACGAGUCCUGGAACUUUGGACUUGAACAUGGAACAUACAUUCUGCGAACCUGCUGACUACAAACCUGACAAGCUGGUGUGUGUUAAAAGCAAAAAAGAAGGCGUUGAAGGUGCUUUCUCUGCGCUACGCAACGUAUGUGAUGGCCGGGGACACGAAAGAUAAAUGUACGGAAGAGGGUGUGUUUGAGACCAGGGCAUCAUGGGUGACCUACACAUCCACCUUGAAUGCUUAGCGUUUGCUGUGAGGAACCUGCGGUGACGAAUGACCUCAUCAUCUUCAGAUGGGAACACGGUAGAGAUUGUCUGCAGAUCUUACCUGUACUGAACCUGACAUCCCUGGAAACCAAGCGUAUGUCCACAAUGGAGAACUGAGGUAACUCCAACUUGUCGACCCCCGUCACAGCACUGUCCCCUC